rnacentral:rRNA from 1 species
GAUGAACGCUGGCGGCGUGCCUAAUACAUGCAAGUCGAGCGAACGGACGAGAAGCUUGCUUCUCUGAUGUUAGCGGCGGACGGGUGAGUAACACGUGGAUAACCUACCUAUAAGACUGGGAUAACUUCGGGAAACCGGAGCUAAUACCGGAUGAUAUUUUGAACCGCAUGGUUCAAAAGUGAAAGACGGUCUUGCUGUCGCUUAUAGAUGGAUCCGCGCUGCAUUAGCUAGUUGGUAAGGUAACGGCUUACCAAGGCAACGAUGCAUAGCCGACCUGAGAGGGGGAUCGGCCACACUGGAACUGAGACACGGUCCAGACUCCUACGGGAGGCAGCAGUAGGGAAUCUUACGCAAUGGGCGAAAGCCUGACGGAGCAACGCCGCGUGAGUGAUGAAGGUCUUCGGAUCGUAAAACUCUGUUAUUAGGGAAGAACAUAUGUGUAAGUAACUGUGCACAUCUUGACGUUACCUAAUCAGAAAGCCACGGCUAACUACGUG